rnacentral:ncRNA from 1 species
CGCGAACAAGCGUAAAAAACCUUAAGUCUUUCCGGGUUAUAUGAGCACGCAAGGCAUUUUGGGCGACUUCGGUCGCCC